rnacentral:piRNA from 1 species
UCAUAGUCAUUAGGUACAUGCAAAUUAAAA